rnacentral:rRNA from 1 species
GGACGAACGCUGGCGGCGUGCUUAACACAUGCAAGUCGAACGUAAAGGCCCUGCUUUUGUGGGGUGCUCGAGUGGCGAACGGGUGAGUAACACGUGAGUAACCUGCCCUUGACUUUGGGAUAACUUCAGGAAACUGGGGCUAAUACCGGAUAGGAGCUCCUUCUGCAUGGUGGGGGUUGGAAAGUUUCGGCGGUUGGGGAUGGACUCGCGGCUUAUCAGCUUGUUGGUGGGGUAGUGGCUUACCAAGGCUUUGACGGGUAGCCGGCCUGAGAGGGUGACCGGCCACAGUGGGACUGAGAGACGGCCCAGAAGCCAACGGGAGGCAGCAGUGGGGAAUAUUGCACAAUGGGCGGAGGACUGAUGCAGCAACGCCGCGUGCGGGAUGAAGGCCUUCGGGUUGUAAACCGCUUUCGCCUGUGACGAAGCGUGAGUGACGGUAAUGGGUAAAGAAGCACCGGCUAACUACGUG